rnacentral:lncRNA from 1 species
GUAUUCUCCUCUUACAGUUUCCCCAUCACUGCUCUCGCGUCUGCCAAAAUCAUUUCCGGUUGCUUGAUCUUUCACUGCAUAUCCGAAUUCGUAGGACAUUGGCUGAAACGAUGUCAGUGAAGGAGAGACUAAUAUUUUAAGUAAGAAAACUAUGAAAAGUGUAUUGCUGUCCAUAGAUGCCAAAAUUCGUAUCUUGGAAACUUUAUUGCUAGGAAACAAACCUAACUUUCUAUCGUCAUUAUUCUUUCAUCUCGAUUUACCUUUUCUUUUAAAACAUUCUAUAUGCAUGAAAAUUCGUGAUUUAGGGGAGUUAUCGUUUUAUAAACAUGUCAACUUUUGAUUAAUGAUAUCUCAAUAAUUACAGUAACGCAUAAACAAUGGAGACGUUAUACUCUAUAAUCUCUAUUGUGCACGCACGAGCCUUAUUUGCAUGUUAGGUGCCGAUCACGGAUUCCCUUGUCGGACUUUCUAUUAAAGUGGCUUCUCAGAUCACCGCUUUGAAUGUUUUCCUAACCUAAUUCAAUGAUUUCAUUAUUAGACUAUUGUCUUCCCUAUGUUGCUUGAUAACAUGAAGAUGCCAUUAGAGUGGUUGGAACUGUUUAUUAUAUUCUUUUUAUAUAAUCUUAUUUUUCUGUUUAGAUGAUAAAUAAUUCCAAUAACUUUUGCUUAUAUAAUAAUUUUAACCAGUUUCAUCAUCACUUUCCUUUUGAUUUUCUAGAUAAUUUUUGUGAUUGAUGUGGAACAAUAGAUUCUUCUAAGUGAAUGUAACAUGUGAAGAAGACAUUAGAAAGUGCUACACUUUAACCGGUAUAGUAACUUAUUAUGAUUUGUCAAUUGUAUCAUCUCUUUGAAUUACUAUUAUUAUAUUAAUCCUUGAGAUGCUGAUACCUAAUUGUCUAAAUACUAAAUUGAUAUAUUUCCAUUAUGUGACAAUUAUGUUUAUUAUUAUUGCCAAUGCAAUAUUUCUUUGAAGCCUCUUUGGUGCACUAUAAAUACACAUGUGGAAGAUUAUUAUAAUUUCAGUAUUUCUUAGAUUGUUAUUCUCAUUAUGAUAUUUCCCUAUAUUAUUAUGUAUUAUUUUCCUAGUAACUUCUCUAAAUUAUUAUUAUCAUUUUAUUACUCCCAU